UACAGCCAUAUCACGUUGAAACACCUGUUCCCGUACGAUCAUCGAAGUUAAGCAACAUUAAGCCUGGUCAGUACCUAUAUGGUUGAAUGUUUAGGAAUAUCAGGAGCUGUAU